rnacentral:rRNA from 1 species
UACGGGGGGUGCGAGCGUUAAUCGGAAUUAUUGGGCGUAAAGGGUGCGUAGGUGGUUAUUUAAGUUAGUUGUGAAAGACCUGGGCUUAACCUGGGGUUGUCAACUAAGACUGGAUGACUUGAGUACAGGAGAGGGCAGUGGAAUUUCCGGUGUAGCGGUGAAAUGCGUAGAGAUCGGAAGGAACACCGGCGGCGAAGGCGGCUGCCUGGUCUGUUACUGACACUGAGGCACGAAAGCGUGGGGAGCAAACAGG